rnacentral:misc_RNA from 1 species
GAUGAAGAACGCAGCGAAAUGCGAUAAGUAAUGUGAAUUGCAGAAUUCAGUGAAUCAUCGAAUCUUUGGACGCAUCUUGCGCUCCUUGGUAUUCUGAGGAGCAUGCCUGUUUGAGUGUCAUUAAAUUCUCAACUACACUGACUUUGAAUUGGUGUGGCUUGGAUUUGGGGGGAAAAUUGUUGUGGGCUUUUUGUAUAGUCUGCUCCCCUGAAAUUGAUUAGCGGUACCUUUGUGGAACUGUCUACAGGUGUGAUAAUUAUCUACAUCUUAGACAUCUGCUGGAAUGCUGCUUUCUAAACCUUACUUGUAUUGACAAUCUUGACCUCAAAUCAGGUAGGACUACCCGCUGAACUUAAGCAUAUCAAUAAGCGGAGGA